UUGACCGUGCAAAGGUAGCAUAAUCAUUAGUCUAUUAAUUGUGGACUUGUAUGAAUGGUUGGACGAAAUAUUAGCUGUCUCUAUUUUAUUAUUAGAAUUUGAAUUUUGAGUUAAAAUGCUUAAAUUUAUUUAUAGGACGAGAAGACCCUAUAGAUCUUUAUUAUUAUUAUUUAAUAGUUUUUAGAAUUUAAAUAUUUUAUUAUUAAUUUAUUAAUUAUUUUGUUGGGGUGACAUAAGGAUAAUUAUAUAACUCCUUAUUAUAUUAUACAUUGAUUUAUGAUUAUUUGACCUUUUAUUAUUGUUAUAAGAUUUAGAUACCUUAGGGAUAACAGCGUAAUUCUUUUUGAGAGUUCAUAUCGACAAAGGAGAUUGCGACCUCGAUGUUGGAUUAAGAUUAUAGUUAGGUGUAGGUGCUUAAAUAUUUAGGUCUGUUCGACCUUUAAAUUCUUACAUGAUCUGAGUUCAAACCGGAG
rnacentral:rRNA from 1 species